AUUGAACGCUGGCGGCAUGCUUUACACAUGCAAGUCGAACGGUAACAGGUCUUCGGAUGCUGACGAGUGGCGAACGGGUGAGUAAUACAUCGGAACGUGCCUAGUAGUGGGGGAUAACUACUCGAAAGAGUAGCUAAUACCGCAUGAGAUCUACGGAUGAAAGCAGGGGACCUUCGGGCCUUGUGCUACUAGAGCGGCUGAUGGCAGAUUAGGUAGUUGGUGGGGUAAAGGCUUACCAAGCCUGCGAUCUGUAGCUGGUCUGAGAGGACGACCAGCCACACUGGGACUGGGACACGGCCCAGACUCCUACGGGAGGCAGCAGUGGGGAAUUUUGGACAAUGGGCGAAAGCCUGAUCCAGCAAUGCCGCGUGCAGGAUGAAGGCCCUCGGGUUGUAAACUGCUUUUGUACGGAACGAAAAGCCUGGGGCUAAUAUCCCCGGGUCAUGACGGUACCGUAAGAAUAAGCACCGGCUAACUACGUG
rnacentral:rRNA from 1 species